AGAAGCUUAAUUAGAACAUACCAGUAAGAAAUGCAAAUGUAGAAAAAUAAGCAGUUUCCCACAGCCUAGCCUUGGUUUUCAGCCGGCUAGGUAAGGCAACAAUAUAAUAGUAAUAGAGAAAAGAGAGAGAUUUAGUGGAGUGUGUGUUUGGAACUCAAGUAUUUAUGCCUUGUAUUCGUGUGUUUGAAAAAAAAAGUACAUGGUAUUUAUAGCUUUUUGAAAAUGAGUAAGAGAGGGGUAAUACGCUACAAAAAUGGAAACAAUUAUGAUUCAAAAUCAAUUAUACAGGUGAUUGCCUUUAAUUCAAGGAUCACUUGCUUAACAGGUAGUCAUGUUCAAAAUAAGGAAAGAAAUCGAUUUGUAAGUAGGUUGGCAGUUGACACAAAAGAAGUAGUAAAACAUUAAGUAAGCAACCGAGUCUAGGUACAGAAAUACUCUAAUUUUAGAAAGGAAUCAGUUAAGGCAAAAUAGGAGAAGAAAUCAAUUAAACUUAACAGACGAGUGAAAUCACAAUUUUACAAAGGAAAGUUUGAAAUCAGUCACAAGUUUGAAGGUCAGUCAAGAAAGGAAAUUCGGCAUAUAAAUAGGAUGCACAAAC
rnacentral:lncRNA from 1 species